rnacentral:rRNA from 1 species
GGCUGAAAUUCGCCUUCAUGAAGCCGGAAUUGCUAGUAAUGGCAGGUCAGCAUACUGCCGUGAAUACGUUCCCGGGCCUUGUACACACCGCCCGUCACACCAUGAGAGUUAGGAAUACCCGAAGCCUGUGAGCCAACUUUAUAAGAGGCAGCAGUCGAAGGUAGAACUAAUGAUUGGGGUGAAGUCGUAACAAGGUAUC